GAAGAUGUUUAAGAGCAUGGUGAACCACGGGUGUCGGCCUAACGGUGAUUGUUAUUUCACCUUCAUUCACUAUCUUUGCAAGGGAGUGGAUUUCGACACCGCUUUGCAGAUUUGUAAGGAGAGUAUGGGGUUGGGUUCCGAAUUGCGGAACGACAAAGUCGCUAGUUAAUGGGCUGGUGAGUAUUGAUAAGGUCGAUGAGGCUAGGGAGCUUAUUAAGCAGGUGAAGGAGAGGUUUUCUAGAAAUACAGAUUUGUGGGAUGAAGUAGAAGCUGGUUUACCUCAGUAAUGAAGAUCAGAUGGUUUGCUGUUUUCAUUUGGUUUCAAUAAAAGCGCAGCUUGAUCUGAAAUGGGCAAACAUUGGUAUCAUGGAAGCCAGGUUUUACUUUUUUCAAAAUCGAUCAACUUCAGAGAUUCUCGAAUGAAAAGGCUGUCGGACAUCCUCUUAUCAUUCAUUAGGUUCUGGUUACUCUUGAUGUACGGACUAAAAGCGCAUGUGAGCUGAACCAACUUUGGGAAGAUGUCUUACCUCUCCCUUGGUGCAGGUUCAAGUACCAGCCUCCCUUUGAGCCACCUACCGUGAGUCUUAUGGUGCUACUCUCUGGUUGGUUAUUCACUGUUGUUUUUUUCGUGUUAGGGUAGCUGGGGAUUCCCAUAGGAAGUUUUUCCAGUGGAAUAGUGUGGUGUAUGUAGAGCAUCAAUCUGGAAGUUGACAUCACUGUUUGCUGUUUGUGUCAAAAUUGGAAAUGUGAUGGUUAUGGCUUCGAACCUUUUCAAUUCGUCCAUCCAUCCAGUUGAAGUCGCUUGGUCUUGAAGGAUAACCGAUGUUACCUAAGGCUUUUGUCUUGUUAGUGGCCAUACCAUAGCAUGUUGAUGAGGGAUUGUCAAAUCUUUUCAGUACCGCUUUGUUAAAUCAGAGAUUGGAUGACUGUUUUGCUGCUAGCAGAGGUGCCAAUGUAAUGUCCGUUCUUUGUUUGUUGCUUAUGUUAAUUGCUGGAGAUGCAGUAUGCUUUUCUUACUCUGAACUGUAAAUGCAUAUUAUCGAAACUACUUUUAGCCGAAAUAUACACCUUUAUCCUGAGAAGACACGAGCAUUGCUUCGAUGUACUCUGUGCUGGUGAGACGAUAUGAACUUUUGCCGCUCAAAGGCGAUUUAUGUGUUCGCAGUAUUGAGAAAAUCGAUUCAGUGUUUUGCAUCAGCAAAUGCCCUCAGCUAUACUUUCCACUCAUGCAAGGGAAAGAAGGAACUUUUUUUUCAUCAGGAGGAAAUCUGGGUGAAUUGAGGGUAAGUGCUUGGCAUAUAUCUGGGCAGAAGGAACAUGUAUCUCAAAUGUUCUCCAUAGAAAGGAGUCAAGCAACCAGAAGAAUUUCCAAUGAAUUGAACAGGAGAAAGAGAGUGCGAACGUCUGUGUUUAUGAACGCCGAUAGGCUUAAAAGAUUCCGAAAGAGAAUGACUUGGACAAUUGUCUUCCCUAAGACCUGUCAAAUUUGUCCUCAAGAAGAGUAUAAUUGAACCCGCGAUUCCCAUUUGUCCGAUAACUAUCUUUGACCUGUGCGACGGAGCAAAUGCUUGGGCGAGCUCAAAGCUCGCAUGGUGACGGUCAUAGGUAGCUCGAGCUUUGCCGGCCCCUCGGGUGAGCCACGAGCUCGCCAACUUGCUUUAUGGCCGGUCACUGGACUGCCGACCAUUGCUGAGGCAUGCAAAAAGAAAAAAGAAAAAAGAAAAGAAAUAUGAUGAAAAAUUCAAUUUCUUUUACAAAAGUUCCAUUAACAAAGGAAUUAAGGACCCUAAGACUAGGAAAAUAUUAAGGGGGAAAUUAUUUUCCUAAAUUUAAGUUUUACUAGGAAAAUCUUUCAUUUAUCUGGGCAAUUGUUGUCCAUUGAUUCAUUUUUCGAAAAUGUUUUCUAUGAAAUAAAUAGAUCGAAGAAAUGUUUGAGUUGGUAGUGUUGCUCAGGAUUUUUGGUAAAAUAAUCCAUAAAAAAUUAUACAUAUUUCUUACAUUUGGUUAUUGAAUUACUAUGCAUAAUUCUAUGUAACUCUGUGUUUGUGUUGACAUGCGCAAAGUAAUAUAUGUGGAGGAUUUGUACGGACAUUUUUAUGUGCAUUUUCAUUUGGGGGAUCAUCAGGCGUACGAGCCAGUCAAGAUAUUCGUGAACCACUUGUGUUGGACUCAUCGCCUAUUUGAAAUCUGCUCGAUUUUUUUUUUUUUUUUGAGUUCAAUUAUCUUGCCGAGUCAAAUUCGAGUCUAAAGACACUUGACUUGCUCCGGUCACGAGCCUAACUGAGUAUUUAAUUUUUUGUUGUGCUUUCUUAUUAUGGUGAUUGAUAAUGUAAAAUAUUCUUACAAUAUCACUUUUGCUAUGUAAUUGCCUUUCAGCCUCUUAUAUAUUUUUAAAGACAAAAUAAAAAGAGUAUUUCGAGCCGAGUUGAGUUUGAUUGAGUCAGAAAAAAUUAAGUACAUUGAUUUUAUACACGUAAAAGUGAGUCGAGCCAAGUCAGGCUCGAGGAUGCCGAGCUCUACACCAAGUCACGUUCAAAUAGGGAAUUAGGUACUUUAUUGAGUUCAAAGCUUCGAGUUUAUGAGUCUAGGAUUAUGUUGCCUUGGCUCGACUCUAUUGCAUCCUUUUUAUGGGAAAAAUGUCAAAAAAAAUUCUAAACUUUUGAGAAAAUUUCAAAUAAAAACCUCAAGUGUCAUUGUUUUCUCAAGUAUGAGCCUGAAGUGGACUUUUUGUUAAAUGAUGAUAUGAAGUGGCCAUGGUUAUUUUAAAUAAGAGCUUGCCCUCAUUGGUCACUGGUUGGCUAAAUAUUUCAAUUGGUUAAAGGGCGUUUUCAUAUAUAAUUUUAAUUUUAAGUCAUUUUUUGUUCUUUUUUGUUCUCUUUUCAUUUUCUUUUUUUCUUUCUAGAGAGGGCCGACGACCUCUCUAGAAACCGCUUGAACAAAAACGGGGGAAACUGGAGAAAAAGACAGCACGCAGAGAGAGAGAGAGAGAGAGAGAGAGUCGGAGGGGGUUCGCUCUCUCCUGCCGAGACAGAGGGAGCGACGAGAGACAAAGGAGGUGUUUCGCUCGCUCCCUCUCCCGCUCGCAUUCCGAUUCCGUCGCCGACGAUCUCCGGCCAGCUACGUCUCCGGUGAGUCCUCUUUUACGCACCUCCGAGGAUCCGAGCUCGGCGACGCUGGGGCAGCCGGCCGUCGGCCGAUUCUCUUCGGGCUCCCCCCCGUCGCCGAGCCCUUCCGUCCCGUCUCGGUUCAACCGGGGCGGAGGAUCCUCGUUCUUCGUUUCUUCCUGCCUGUUUUGGUUCGCGUUUGGGCCUCGAACGGCGAGUUUUGCUCCUGUCUGUCUGUCGAUGCAUGUCGCAUGCUCGGUGAAAUGCCUGAACUAGAUUUGUAUUGGUAUUCUCCCGUUCUCGUUCGUUCCUACGUACUUGAUGAUCGUUAGGCACGUUCUUGGGGAUUUUCAUCACAUUCUCUGCCUCGGUUGUGACUGGCUCGUUACGGUUUUUUCGACCGACCAAGGAGCGACGUCCCGAUCCUGAGGAUUAGCGACAUUAGUCAGUGGAGUCCAUUCCAUGGCUGCCGGUGGUGAGGUUUGGCCGGGCUUGACGUCGUCACCGGUCUGGUCGGGCGAGACGAGCGGGCUCGGGUGUGGGCUGGCCGAGACUUAGGGUUUUCCUGGGGCCUUGGGGUUGGGCUAGCCAAAUAAUAGGAAAGAGGUGGUCGACUGGGCUUGGAGUUUUAGAAAUUGGUGUGGGCUAAAAGAGGGAGAAGGAAUUAGUGGGGGGUUGGAUGUGGGUCUAGAAUAGGAUAUAGGAGGGCUGGGCUCAUGUGCGGAGCUCAAUCUGACUGAGAACCUAGACCAGUGAGACCUGGCUUCGGUUCCUGUCCAGACCCGGCCCAGAGACCCAAAUGUAGAAAUUUGAUGAGAAAGUUUCUUCUCUUGACCUUUUAGUGUAAUUGGUGCCUUGCUUGCUUGCACUUUGGUUGUUUUGCAUGUCUAAUUUGCGUAUUUAAUCACGAGUGUGAAUGUUUAGAUGCACAUGCUAUAUUAACUAAUACUGUUGAGGUUGAAAUGAGAGCUUGUACUCACUGUUCCUUAAGUUUCUGUGUUGCUUUUGGUUGGAUAUUGGAAUUAUAAAGAAUCUUUUCCGUGUCGUCAUCCGUGGUUAUGAUCAAGAGAGCUCUUAUUUUGUUUUAGUUUGUCAUACGUGGAAUUUGUUCACAUUGAAAUCCUUUAUUGGAUAGGAACUUUGAAUCUGCAUGAUUUGAACUUUUAAGGAAAUCGUGUUAGCUUGUUAAGUUUGCCUGGAGUUGUCUAAUGUUUAUUUAGUUUUCUUUGCCUGGAGCCAUGGAUAAAAGACGAGCUCUUGUGAUAGCUGGGCCCGAUAAAGUUUUGUGUUGGUAGAUGUGAAAGAUUGUGUGAUGUCCCUGAUCCCUUACUCCAUCAGGUACUUGGCUUCCUUGAAAGAACUCAUAGUGUCUUGUCGAGUAGAACCACGAUGAGUUGAGGUUACCCAAUAGAAGGCGUUUCUUGUAAUACGUGGAUUGGGCAUUGUCUUGUUGUGAUUUAUACCAUGUGAAAUCCUUCUCUUUCCAUACAUCAAGACGCUUCUUCCAUAUAUUCUGAGAUAAAAUUUGCCAAAAAUCGUAAGGUUCAAACUCUUGGAGUGAGCUUUGAUUUGCCGAUAAUAUCAGUAUUACGGUACCUUCAUGCGUGUUUAGGAGCGAAACCUUGACAGAAUUCUAUUUGGGAAUAGAGGACUUGCUUUCUUCUUCCAUUUGUUUUUCGGAUCUUACGACUUACUUUUAUGGAUGAUGGGUCAAUUGGAAGCCUGUUUUCAGUUCCUUGUCUUGAGGAUUUGUGUCUUUGAAAUUGUUGGCAUCUCAAAACCCUUACUGUUUCAAUUCUAAAUCUAUUGAGCUUGUUUAUCGAGCAAAAGACAAUUAAACCUAAGCUCGAGCUCUUUAGCUAUAUUGAUGGGCUUGUCUAAGUGUGCGAUACGCGAUGCUUAUGUGCUACGUGACGCUCAUUUGAUUUUGAGUGGUCCGGCCGAGGGGAUUUAUGCUUCCCGUGCACAUAAACUUCUAAAGGAUCUGUCUGCUACGAAAUGUCUUUUUCUCCUGAGGUAUAAUAUUAAUCUUAUUUCUUGUACUUUGGGUCGAAGCAUUGCAUUAUGUUUUGUCAGUCAAAUUAGUGUUCUCUGGAUCUAUUUUCAGGAGAUCAGUUUCUUCCUAAUCUUCUCUUGCCUUAACCUCUUGUCAUUCGACAUAUGAUAGAUUCCCUAUCAAUCCUUGCGAUGCUCAACAACUAUCCUUAUUUGGUCAGGCUUUUGUUUUGUGGGAUAACUAUUAUGUCCUUCUUAUUAUUUCCUCUGACUGAAUCUUGUGAUCAAAUGCGAAAGUUGAUUGUUAUGUAAUUGUCAAUUAGGGUUUGGUUGUGAACUUCAAAAACGACGAAGGAAUAUUGGAUCCGGCGCCCGAGUGCUUCUAAACGUCACUCAAGUUCAUCACGAUUGAAGAAUUUGAUGCCACUUAUUACCAACUUUUAGCCAUGACGAUCAUACUUAGGGCUGCCUAAGUUUUGCAGUAGAGGCUUCACAUAAUCUGCUUAGAGCAGAAGUCAGGGUCUUCUAUGGUAGAUCUUUUGGAAAGCGUUUAGCUCCUUUCGAUGAGCUCAGAUCAAUGUUUCAUUUCUCUGUGCCCCUAUGACUUUUAGCAUAUUUAGUUAGUUGAUGAGAUUCUUGAGUUAGCUAGACUACCGCUUCUUGAGAAACUUUAUUAGUUUUGCCAUAUGGUGAGCUGUAGUUUAGCUAUCUCAAGAGUCUCGUCAACUAACUGAAUGUGCUAAAAGUCAUAGGGGAACACUGACAUGAGACAUUGAUCUGAGCUCUUAGGAAGAAACUGAAUGCUUUCCAAAGGAUCUACCAUAGAAGCUCUCAGCCUUUGCAAAACUUGGGCAGUCCUAAGUAUAAUUGUCACGGCUAAGAGUUGGUCAUCAGUGGCAUCAAAUUCUUUAAUCGUGAUGAACUUGAGCGACUAUUGGAAGCAUUCGGUGCCGGGUCCAAUAUUCCUUCAUCGUUUUUGGAGUCCACAACCAAGCCCUAAUUGACAAUUACAUACCAAUCAAUCUUCGCAUUUGAUCACAAGAUUUAGUAAGAGGAAACAAUAAAAAUGAUAGAAUAGUUACCUCACAAAAAAAAAAGCUGACCAAACAAGGACAGAGAGCAUCGAAAGGAGUGAUAGGGAAUCUAACUUCAUUGUGUCAUAAGUGUCGAAUGACAAGAGGUUGAGGCGAGAGAAGACUGGGAAGGAACUGAUCUCUUGAAAAUAAAUCCAGAGAACACUAAUUAGACUGACAAAACAUAAUGCAAUGCUUCGACUCAAAAUACAAAAAAUAAGAUUGAUAUUAUACCUCAAGAAUGUAGUAAUGCAGAAAAAAGAUGUUCGCAGCAGACAUAUCUUUAAAAGCUUAUGUGCGCGGGAAGCAUAAAUUCCCUCGAUUGGAUCACCCAAAACCAAACGAGCGUCACGUAGCACAGAAUCAAACAAGUGCCCACCAAUAUAGCUAAAAAGCUUGAGCUUAGGUUUAGUUGUCCUUUGCUCGAUAAACCAACUCAAUAGAUUUAGAGCUGAAACAGGUUUUGAGAUGCCAACAAUUCCAAAGACACAAGUCCUCAAGACAAGGAACUGAAAGCAGGCUUUCGAUUGACCCAUCAUCCAUAAAAGUGAGUCCACUAAGAUGUAAGAUCCGUGAAACAAAUGAAAGAAGGAAGUAGGUUCCUCUAUUCCCAGAUGGAACUUUGUCAAGGUUUCGCUCCUAAACAAGUAUGAAGGUACCAUAAUGCUGAUAUUAUCGGCAAAUCAAAGCUCACUCCAAGAGUUUGAACCUUGCGAUUUAUGGCAAAGUUUAUCCAAGAGUAUAUGGAAUAUGCGUCUUGAUGCAUGGAAAGAGAAGAUUUCACAUGGGAUAAAUCACGACAAGACAAUGCCCAAUCCAUGUAUUGCAAGAAACGCCUUCUAUCAGGUAAUCUCAACUCAUCGAACACAAGAUUGGGAAGGGAUGCCCACAAGGACCUCCACCUACUCGACAAGACACUUGUUCUGAUGAGUUCUUUCAAUGGAAGGAAGCCAAGUAUGUGAUGGAGUAAGGAUCAGGGAGAUCACACAAUCUUUCACAUCUACCAACACAAAACUCUCCUUUAGAGUUAUCGGGCCCAGCUAUCACAAGAGCUCGUCUUUUAUCCAUGGCUCUAGCUAGUACUCAGGAGUCAAAGCUGACAGAAGGAAACUAAAUAAACAUUAGACAACUCCAGGUAGACUAAACAAGCUAACACAAUUUCCCAAAAAGUUCAAAUCAUGCAGAUUCAAAGCUCCUAUCCAAUAGAGGAUUUCAAUGUGAACAAAUUCCAUGCAUGACAAACUAAAACAAGUGCUCUCUUGAGCAGAAACCACGGAUGACGACAUAAGAGCUGAAUGCUUUCCAAAAGGUCUACCACAGAAGGUCCUAGCCUCUGUUUUGAGCAGAUUAUGUGAAGCCUCCGCAAAACUUAGGCAGCAGGUAUGAUCGUCACGGCUAAAAGUUGGUCACCAAGUUCAGGUGGCAAAACUAAUAGCUUGUUUUCUCUUACAUGUUCUGAAUGGUAAAAUUCAUUACAAAGAACUUAAGGUGAUCUUUUGGCUCAUCAUUAGUCAUUUUGGUUGUUCACUUUAAGCAGUAGAAUUGCGACAAUACAUGGAACUCGUAGCGUCGUUGUUAGAGCACAACAAGCUUGUUCAUGGCCUCUUCUUGAUUUCAGGAUAGUUUAUUUGCAAAUUCAUGCACUUGACUACUUCAUGCUUUUGUUUCCUUCUCUUGAUAUGAGAACAACUCGUAUUUCUUUGUGUGUGACAUUGCAAAUUGAAUUAAUUUAAUGUGGCCCUUCAUUUUAAGUGCAGGGCUAUGGCUGAACUAUGAGUUCUUAGACUAUUGGGGAAUCCUCGAGUUCCUUCCUGAAAUUUUACCACUAAACAAUCUUCACCAUUUGUCUUUGGCAAAUAUUAGGAUCAUGGCAGAUGAAAACCUAAGAUCAGUGAAUUGUAUGCUCUUGAUGUACACACUUAUCUUUGUGAUGUGAGAAGAAAUAGAUAUGUCCCAUUCGAUUGGAGUCCUUUCAUCGGAGAUUGGAGAAGGAACAUCAGGUAAAUUUGGUGUAUCAUAUUGCAUCAUGGAAUCCAUGGCAGUUUCCAUAUAAUCUAGGGUUAUAGAUGCAAAUCUUUGCUCUAUAACGGUUCUUAAUGUAGCCUGUUGAAAUUGUUGAGCAUCUUAGGUGUCGCACUGAUCGGCUUUGCAGCCUAGUUCGGAAUAUGUGAAGGAUAUCGUUCUGGCACAUAAAUAAAGGGAGGGAAGAAAGGGCCGGCCUUUAUAUGCGAGUAGAAUUUUUCAGUUCUACUUGCAAACUAUUCUUUAUGUGAAGAUAUGAACAUUUUUUCUUGAUGGAUAGCGAGGCCCUAUGUGGAAAGGGGACAGUUGACAGAAUCUGAUUGUGAUGGCUGCUGACGAGACUAAAAAGCCUUCAAGACAACUCUGGAAGCUUGUGAAGAAACAGUACCGAACUUCAUGGAAGAUCCCAAUUUGUCACGAUGUCAAUGCAUCACCGAUUUCUUCGUGAUUUGAGAGCAUAAGGACGAAGAGUGUGCAUGUGCUUUUGGGAUUCCAUUGCUUUGUCAUCGCUAGAGCUUAUUAGUAUGGUAUGGAAUACUCUCAGGGCAGGCAAUUUUGCAGCAUCAAUGAGGAGACAACCAUAGUUGGAGGAGCAAUGAGCUUGAGCAUGUUAUUUCGGCUGAAAUUAAAAAGGAAAAAAAAUUGCUUAGAAGUGAAGGAACUGAUGUGAUCAUAAGAUUGAGAUAAUGCGGAAAAGUUAUUGUAAGGGAAAAUGACAUAGAUGAUCUUUAAUCUUUGGUUUAAUAGGCGAUGUGGUUUCUGAAUUUUUAAUUUGCUUGAUGUAGUCUCUGAACUUUGGUCCAAUGUGCAAUGUCAUCCCUAAAUAUUAAAUUUCUUUAAUGUGACUCCUGAACUAUUAGUAAAAGAUCGAUUUAGUCUUUCACCUAUAUGAAGAUAUCUACUAUUGUUCUUUCGGUAAUUCAAGUUAAUGGAAUCUUUGUGUGGCUUCCGAUAUGUUAUAUUUGAAUGGUAGAUCUUAAAAAGGGUUUUGCAUGGAUUGUCCACCUAUAUCGUUCGUCUCAAAUCAAGGAAAGAAAUUGUCAUGUGUAAUAUUUGAAGUUCGUCAUUUGCUUAUUUCCUUUUCUAAAGUAAAUGGAUUAAAUGAUAGACAUGCUGACUCAUCAUUCAAGCAUGUCAUUUGAGCCAAGAGGAAAACCACAUUGAAAAUUUAUUACUAGUUCAAAAAUCACAUUUCACAUAUUAAAAAUUCAGAGACAAAAUUACAUGUCAAAUCAAAAUUCAUGGAUUGUUUAUGUUGUCAUCUCUUAUUGAGACAGGGCAGUCUCUUGCCAUUCUUCAUUUCAGCACAGAAAGCAUGGGUAAAAUGAUCUAUAUCGCAAGCCCGAUGGUAUUUAAUCAAAUCACAUCCCUACCAUGACACUCAUUACGAUGUUUCGCAAAGUGAAGUACACAUUAGUGGUCCACUCAUUGCAUGAGAAUACAUGCGUUUUUUUUGUGAGAGAGAGAGAUAGAGAGAGAGAGAGAGAGAGAGAGAGAGAGAGAGAGAGAUGUAAAAGAAGGAAGCAUGUAUCAGGAAUUUUCUGGAUUAUAAAGCAUGAAUGGUGCUUAUGAAAGUGAAAAAUUCAAGACGAACCCUGCUGAAAAGUAACUAUCCGAAGGCGCAUUUGCAGCCAAAAGAUUGGUGAAAGCUGUACCGCCUGGAAGUCUGUAAACUUUACAAUGUUUUGCAGUUCGCUGGUAAACAAUGGGUGAUUUCUCAUGUCAAGAGCAUCAAUUAUGAACUGCCCCACGCUGUGUACUUCGAGAAAAGAGCACCCGACAAAAACUUUUUGUUAUAAUCACCAGAAGAAGAGGACAUCCACUGACCAAAGCAAUCUUCAUUCACAAGCAUCCUCUCUCUAAUGCANNNNNNNNNNNNNNNNNNNNNNNNNNNNNNNNNNNNNNNNNNNNNNNNNNNNNNNNNNNNNNNNNNNNNNNNNNNNNNNNNNNNNNNNNNNNNNNNNNNNUGGUUGUGUGAUGACCGCUGGGAGAUCGAAUUUUGCAUUAUGGCAUGUUCAUUUAACGGUGGUAAUGCUCGUUGAACAACCAUUUCACUUACUAGCUCCUAGUGGUAUGUUUUUUUCCUUAGCCAAGCUAUUUUAGAAUUGCGGAUUGGAAAUCGAUACAGCUUGUGUUUACUUGCGUUAAAUGUACAAUGUUAUUGAUAUUUUGCUUCCUAGGAAUACGCGAGGCAGCUGCCCUUUAGUUAUCCUUCAUCGAUUUGACAAUUAAACCGGCUAUUUUCAUGAAGCAAUGACAUGUAAACGUUGAUAUCCUACUUUCAUUAAUAGCCUGUCCCUAGAUCUUCUGGUACUCUUUUCAAGAUAAUUAAAGUGAGCUUGUUCCGGGUGAUUUGCCUUUACUGUGGCUUGAGGUGAUUGGCGAUGGUGUUGUGCGGUGGUGGCGGUGGUGGUCGUUGAUGACGUUGAUCAGAGACACAGGUUGUUGGUAGCAAUGGCCUGAGUUAAUCCUGGGUUGCUUUAGUUUAGGUGUAUAUUUGUGUAAAGUUUUAGUAACCAGAUUGUUAAGCUUUAGUAAUUUGGUUAUUAGGCUUGAUAUGAGGUAAGUCCGGGAAUAAUGAGCAUGGGGAAGGAUAUUGUAGACGUCUUGAGAUGGAUAUUAGUAAAAAUGGGCUCGUUUUGAUUAAAGCAUAAUGCAUUCAAUAUUAGUCUUGGAUCUGCCAAAAGGAUAACGCAAAACCUCAUCGACCGACACUUGACCUUUUUCUUUAUUCAGAGCGUGCAUCAUGAUGCUAAACGAAAAGCAAGUUGCAGUCUUAUUCACGUCUUCAAUGCAACCGUCGAGUCAAAAUUAAGUCCUGAUUCGGGAAUCGACUUGACUACAUUUCUGCACCAAGGAUUCAUUACUGUUACCUCGAACGAUCAUAGCUCUUUGAAAGCAUUACCUAGGGUGGAUGAUUAGUAUCAUCAUCAUUCCAAUGCUUCAAUCCUUCCGGCGAUUCAAACCUCAUGAGGAGGUAAGUCUUAAGCGAUUCUUGGAAUAAAUUAUGGUUAUAAUUGGGUUGGGAGGCCCGGACCUUCAUCAUUUUCNNNNNNNNNNNNNNNNNNNNNNNNNNNNNNNNNNNNNNNNNNNNNNNNNNNNNNNNNNNNNNNNNNNNNNNNNNNNNNNNNNNNNNNNNNNNNNNNNNNNUAGCAAUUUGACUCGGUGGUCAUUUUCGAUCUCCAUGGCAUCGAAGAAUUUCUCAACUUCCUGGAACCAAUCCAAAAUGUCCUUUCGAUUGAUAUUGCUCGAGGUCUAGUCAACAUCCCCUGUUCUGAUGGCCUCCUUGAAUAAGCCCAUUUAGGAACUCGACAUAAGCUUGUUGCCUCUGUUGGGGUUUUGUCCCACAUUCCAUAAAUUACUUUCGAGACUUGAGCGGCCUGAGCACAUUCGGUCGAAAGAUUACUAGGUAUGAGUUGGUAAACAAACGCUGGAUGACGACAAGUCCUAAAGCCUCCAUUCGGUUUGCUAUGCAAAUUGGUAGAACUUAGCCCAUGUAAUAGGCUCGUUUUCACGGCGCUCAAUUGCGGGGAGAUUAUCAUUGAUGUUAUUGGUCAUUGUCACAGAAGAAACCUACUCAGCUACCAUAUGAUGCAGAGGAAGAUAUGCUUGGAAAAAGGAUUUCAAAGGUAGUGUUUAUUUUCAACAAUGAAGCGUGGAUCGCAAUGUUUUAAGUGAGUAUUUGUAAGGAGGUCGCCCUUUAAGAAAUAAUUAUAAUCAAAUAACGAAAUUAUGGAAAAAUAUUAGUAGAGGAGAAAGUCUACAAAACACGUCUUGAACAUCUACAAAAUAUGUCCGAAAUCUUUGACGGUCUGGAAAUCAAGGAAGACGUGAAUUUGAGAUCAAAUAUUGCCUAAAUCAGUAUAGCCCAUUCGCAACUUCGAAGCUCCCACAAUUUUCUUUGAUUUGUGAGACCGCCUACUCCUAUGGUGCUCGAAGAUUUCUGUAUAAGCAUUUGCCUGUUGUUCCACGUCACUGCCUCAUUUCAAAGCUAUAUAAAAAAGUGUCCAUCAGCUAAAACAAUGCAUUCACUACUUCAGCGUAGCCUUUUGUUUACUAGACGUUGAUCAUGAAUCGAGCAAGUAGACUAGACACGUACUGCAAUUCNNNNNNNNNNNNNNNNNNNNNNNNNNNNNNNNNNNNNNNNNNNNNNNNNNNNNNNNNNNNNNNNNNNNNNNNNNNNNNNNNNNNNNNNNNNNNNNNNNNNNNNNNNNNNNNNNNNNNNNNNNNNNNNNNNNNNNNNNNNNNNNNNNNNNNNNNNNNNNNNNNNNNNNNNNNNNNNNNNNNNNNNNNNNNNNNNNNNNNNNNNNNNNNNNNNNNNNNNNNNNNNNNNNNNNNNNNNNNNNNNNNNNNNNNNNNNNNNNNNNNNNNNNNNNNNNNNNNNNNNNNNNNNNNNNNNNNNNNNNNNNNNNNNNNNNNNNNNNNNNNNNNNNNNNNNNNNNNNNNNNNNNNNNNNNNNNNNNNNNNNNNNNNNNNNNNNNNNNNNNNNNNNNNNNNNNNNNNNNNNNNNNNNNGUUGCGACCUUUCAAGAAUCGCGGCCUACUCAUUUCUUUUUUUAAUCUUUUGAUUAAAUCUAAGUGGAAGUAUUUUUUAUUUUUUUAUUAAAGUAUAGUUUAGUUGUGGCAUGUGCAAUUCAAGAGGUCUCGGGUUUUCGAGUGAUUCUGAAAAUGGGUCUUAUUAACAAGAGUUCUGAGUAAGCUAAUUGAAAUAUUAAAAAUAGUAAAAACUCAUGUCGACAUAUUUCACGAGAAUUAUUGAAGUGAAGAGAGGUACGACGAAGCGAAGAAGAUGUUUAAGAGCAUGGUGAACCAUGGGUGUCGGCCUAACAGUGAUUGUUAUUUCACCUUCAUUCACUAUCUUUGCAAGGGAGGGGAUUUCGACACCGCUUUGCAGAUUUGUAAGGAGAGUAUGGAAAAGGGUUGGGUUCCGAAUUUCGGAACGAUGAAGUCGCUAGUUAAUGGGCUCGUGAGUAUUGAUAAGGUCGAUGAGGCUAGGGAGCUUAUUAAGCAGGUGAAGGAGAGGUUUUCUAGAAAUACAGAUUUGUGGGAUGAAGUAGAAGCUGGUUUACCUCAGUAAUGAAGAUCAGAUG
rnacentral:lncRNA from 1 species